rnacentral:rRNA from 1 species
AGUGAACGCUGGCGGUAGGCCUAACACAUGCAAGUCGAACGGCAGCACAGUAAGAGCUUGCUCUUACGGGUGGCGAGUGGCGGACGGGUGAGGAAUACAUCGGAAUCUACUUUUUCGUGGGGGAUAACGUAGGGAAACUUACGCUAAUACCGCAUACGACCUACGGGGGAAAGCAGGGGAUAUUCGGACCUUGCGCGAUUGAAUGAGCCGAUGUCGGAUUAGCUAGUUGGCGGGGUAAAGGCCCACCAAGGCGACGAUCCGUAGCUGGUCUGAGAGGAUGAUCAGCCACACUGGGACUGAGACACGGUCCAGACUCCUACGGGAGGCAGCAGUGGGGAAUAUUGGACAAUGGGCGCAAGCCUGAUCCAGCCAUACCGCGUGGGUGAAGAAGGCCUUCGGGUUGUAAAGCCCUUUUGUUGGGAAAGAAAAGCAGCAGGUUAAUACCCCGCUGUUCUGACGGUACCCAAAGAAUACGCACCGGCUAACUUCG